rnacentral:rRNA from 1 species
GAUGAACGCUGGCGGCGUGCCUAAUACAUGCAAGUCGAACGCAUAGCCAAAGGUGCUUGCCCCUUUCAGGUGAGUGGCGAACGGUUGAGUAACACGUGGUCAACCUGCUUCAAGGCUGGGGAUAACAUUUGGAAACAGAUGCUAAUACCGAAUAAAUCUUAGUGUCGCAUGACACAUAGUUAAAAGGCGCUUCGGCGUCACCUAGAGAUGGAUCCGCGCUGCAUUAGUUAGUUGGUGGGGUAAAGGCCUACCAAGACAAUGAUGCAUAGCCGAGUUGAGAGACUGAUCGGCCACACUGGAACUGAGACACGGCCCAAACUCCUACGGGAGGCUGCAGUAGGGAAUCUUCCACAAUGGGCGAAAGCCUGAUGGAGCAACGCCGCGUGUGUGAUGAAGGCUUUCGGGUCGUAAAGCACUGUUGUAAGGGAAGAACAGCUAGGAUAGGAAAUGAGUUUAGUUUGACGGUACCAAACCAGAAAGAGACGGCUAAAUACGUG